AACAGUACCGCGAGUACCAAUGGAUCGGCCUCAACGACCGCACCAUCGAGGGGGACUUCCAGUGGUCCGACGGCAGCCCCCUGGUAAGCCGUGCUGCCAACCCCCGCCCCCCCGUUCCCAUCCCCACCGCACCUCGUGGUCCUUCUCCAUCCCUUGGGAUGGGUCCCAGGUUUCGAAGCCUCAGCUGAAGCCACUGGCAUAAGCACCGCGUGAUUUGGGGUGCCUGAGGCAGCGGUACAGAGAUGGGGCGCCACGGCAUGGACGCAAUGCAAAGUGCCAGCGCAGCCCCAGCCCGUCCUGUGCUCCCCAGCUCUAUGAGAACUGGCACCCGGGGCAGCCCGACAGCUACUUCCUCUCCGGUGAGAACUGCGUGGUCAUUGUGUGGCACGACGGGGGACAAUGGAGUGAUGUCCCCUGCAACUACCACCUCUCCUACACCUGCAAAAUGGGGCUGGUGCAGUGCGGACCCCCCCCCACCGUCAGCAACGCCCGCGCCUUCGGCACACCAAAGCAGCGCUACGAGAUCGGCUCCAUCACGCGCUAUCACUGCCGCCACGGCUUCGCCCCGCGCCGCUCCCCCAUCAUCCGCUGCCGUGAGGAUGGGAUUUGGGAACGGCCCCAGCUCUCCUGCCGCCCCGGUGAGCACGCAGCCCCCUGCAACCCCACACCUCCCCUCGUGGAUGGCUCUUCACUGGGACUCUUUGCUUCCUGUAUCCCCCCAGGGCUGGCUCAGCACCCCGAGGACUGAGCGAGCUGUCACCUCCCCAAGCCCCGGAGCUGGCCCGGAUGGGGAUGGCACUGGGAUGGCAGUGCAGCACUGGAGGGCAAGGGGUGUCCUGGUGGGUGCCUGCCCUCUGCUUGUUUUAUAUCUGUACAAAGAAAUCCCAAUAACUAAAGAGCCCC
rnacentral:lncRNA from 1 species